rnacentral:lncRNA from 1 species
UUCCUAUAAAAUUUCGUAAAAAAAUUGGAAUGAUUCAGUUGAUUGGUUACAGCUUUGGAGGAAAUUCAAAAUGAUUGUAUCAGUGGUUUUUAUAUUAUUGAGCCUAAACUGUUUAUUUUUGCCUACAACAAAUGCAGCACUUUCUGCAUCCCAAAUCCAAAACCUUAUCCAAGCUGGAUUGUUAGCUGGCUCAAGUGUACAAAAACUGAUCGGACAAAUAUCGACCUGCGGUAAAAUGUGUUGGCACAAUGAUUGGGCUCACCGAGAUGAUGUAGCCAACAAACUUAAUAUGUAUGACUGGCGCUGUUCAAGCAGCUACACAUGGGGAGGUCGAUGUUACUGCGUAGGCCCUCCACACUGUGGUUGUGGUGAAAACUGUUAUAAUGGCGAUUGGCAGAGACGUGAUAAUGAAGCAAAGGCAGCCGGAGUAUACAACACCCAACGUUGCUCGUUCGACAACAUGGAUGGUGGAAGAUGCUAUUGUUGGGGCAAGCGCUGUUUAUAAUUGACAUACUAUGUGGGGAUUUAUAAACAUUAGAGUCUUAUACUCAAUAAACUAGUAUGAAAUAUUUGUGCAAUUGUAUAGCAUAAUAAACGUAUUUUUUUUUUUUUAUUGUAGUAGAGUAGCCGAUAAAUUAAUCGAUUUUCUCUAUAUUAGUCUUACUUGUUAGUUUUAAUAUACAUUUGAAUAAAAUAAUUUUUUUAGA